rnacentral:rRNA from 1 species
UUGGAGGGCAAGUCUGGUGCCAGCAGCCGCGGUAAUUCCAGCUCCAAUAGCGUAUAUUAAAGUUGUUGCAGUUAAGAAGCUCGUAGUUGAAUUUCGGGAUUGACGUGAUGGUCAUGCCUUAAGGGGUAUGAACUGUCACUGUUGAUUUCUCACCUUCUGGAGAAACUUGAUGUCCUUUAUUGGGUGUCUUGCGGAUCCAGGACCUUUACCUUGAAAAAAUUAGAGUGUUUAAAGCAGGCAUUUUUGCUCGAAUACAUUAGCAUGGAAUAAUAGAAUAGGACGGCAUGGUUCUAUUUUGUUGGUUUCUAGGAUCACCGUAAUGAUUAAUAGGGAUAGUUGGGGGCAUUAGUAUUCAAUUGUCAGAGGAGAAAUUCUUGGAUUUAUUGAAGACUAACUACUGCGAAAGCAUUUGCCAAGGAUGUUUUCAUUAAUCAAGAACGAAAGUUAGGGGAUCGAAGACGAUCAGAUACCGUCGUAGUCUUAACCAUAAACUAUGCCGACUAGGAAUCAGACGAUGUUAAUUUUUUAAUGACUCGUUUGGCACCUUACGGGAAACCAAAGUGUUUGGGUUC